UGGUGCGGCGGGUGGCGGUGGAUAUUUCGGUGCUGACCGCGCCUGGCUGGAAAACAUCGAUACGCGGGGAUCGGCUCAGCCCCGGGAGCGGCGGCAAAGCCCGGAGCCCUCUCUGCUUUGCCUCGCCGCGGAUUUCCAGCCCCGUGGGGUGACUCGUCACUGCCUUUAGCUCGGGGAGAAAGACUCGGCCCCGGCGGUGAGGAGCGCUGCGCGACAAAAUCACGACGGGAACGAGACACGAGGGACAGAAACAUGCAGAAACCCGCCAAGAAAACCAGGGUCCCGUCGAAUAGGAGGUUUGAUUUCAGGUGCGCCUUUGCUUGGCUGACAUGAGCUCCGACCCUGUGCGCUUUUACGCGGUCGCGCAGCCUCGCCGGCGGGCCAGGUGCACGGAAAGGGGCGCAGACCCGGCGGCGGACCACGCUCAGUUUUUAAGCAUGUUUUGCACAGUGAUGAGAGGGGCCACCGUUUUUUUUUUUUUUCUGUUGUUUUUUUCUUUUUUUUUUUUUUUUUUUUCCCUCUUUCUCUCAAAAGCCCCCGCGCCGCUCACUUCAUGCCGCUGAGACAAAUCUCCACACAGCCCCGUGGUGGCACCCGUGGGGCUGUGCCCCGAAACCGGCCCCGGCUGCUCUUUCCCUGCAGGGCAUCGAGCUGAGCUGUCACCCGCUCCUCUCCCUGCCGCCCCUUAGGAUAACCUGACAUAUAUAUAUGCAUGUAUAUAUGUAUGUAUGUAUGUGUAUGGCCUUUAAUUAGGGCUUUAAUGAGCCUCCCGCCUUUAACUAGGAGCCUACGGGUGCGGGGAGACGCUGCUAAGACCCUUACUGCCGCAUUCCUACCCAAACCGCUUCUCUCCCGGUGCUGCCAGGAGCUACUGCCCGCACCUCCCGCUGCAAAGUAACCUGCGGUGCUGCUUUUGGUUUAAACGCAUCCCCGCCUCGGGAGGGGAGGAGUUAAAAUAUUUUUCUUCUUCUUCUUCUUCUUCUUCUUUUCUUUCUCUUGUAGAAGAAAACAGCUUGUCCUGUGUUAAGAAUCGUGUUUAUUCGCUCGGGCAGGGUCGUAAGAGCGCCCGUUCAUGUCUUGAGAGUUCCUCGUUCCUUUACAAAGCGAUGACUAUAGGGCUCCCGGGCUCCGGCUCUGCUCCUUUCCAACCUCACGCGAUUAUCAGUUUUGCUUUCAGGUUUUUGUUUGUUUGUUUUUUGUUUGUCUGUUGUUGGGUUUUUUAAUUCUUUUUUUUUUUUUUUUUUUUUUCUGCUGCACAUAAUUAUAUUGCUCCCUCCGCCGGCUUCACCCUCCCUUUGCGUUCCCCGGUUUCGGAGCAAGCAAGUUCCCAGCGCUGUUUCUGCGGCGGGGGCAUCUCCCCCCUGGCCGCCGCUGCAAGCUCUUCCCUUCACGAAAAGAGCCGCGCCAGCAAGGCAUAAACCCAGGCUGCUGCACUCCUGAACGGGAGACGUCUUUGUCCACGGAGAGCGCGAACGGCCGGGCACAGCUCAACGCACGCACGGACACACGGACACAUAGCCAGGAGGAUCAUUAAACACAUCCAUCCCGAUCCAAAGCCAUCUAGCAAAUCUGCUUUUGGUGCAAUCUUACGAGCGCGUACACACGCUACAAACGCCCGAGUAAAGAUGCAUCCACAGGCGUAUAAACGUGCGACACUGUAUAUAUACAGUACAUUGUAUAUUCAGGAGUGCGAUACUGUGUAUACACACAUCGGUACGUCAGCUGGAUACGAUUACACUUUAACGUCCCUUUCAUGUGCAGAAAACGCACUGUGUUUUCCAUAUAAACCUAGAGUUUACGCUUAACGGAAGCGAUGACACUUUUAUAUUAUAUUAAAAAAAAAAAAAAAGUAUGAGUACUCCAUAGAUUUUUUUCCUUUUUCGGUUAAAAACCGUCACUAAAGGCUGAUGAAAUUUUCACUAAGGGUUUGUACUGCAAAUGUUUUGCACCUAUCAUUUGAAGCACCACCAAGACGUGCAAGACUCCUGGGGUGAUAAUUUCAUUCAAGUGUUGCAAAAUCUCUUUGGGUUUCAAGAUCAGCUAUCGAGACAGCUGCAAUGAACGCAAAAAGCGCUAUUUCUUUUUCUUUUUCUUUUUUUUUUUUUUUUUGGCCUGAACUCAUUAGCACCCCGACUAUCCACGGAGGUCGUUAUCCAAGGUGUUUAUACGUUCUCCCUGAGUCAGGCAGCAUAUUUUAGCCAGCUGGGUUGGUUUCCCCGAGUGCAGGCAAGGGAUGAGGGGUUUGCGGCUGCCGACGCUGUGCCUGUUCCUCCCGAGCGGGGAGCCUCCCUGUCCCCGGAAGGGAGGCUUACACCCCCGGGAACUGGAUGCUUCAGGGCGGCCGGCCAGCACCCCAUUCCACUCCAGUGGGUGAUGGAGGGGUCUGACUUGUACCCGAGGGGGCUGGCCAGGGCAAGGUUGGGGCACUCCAGGGUGAGAUGGGGUAGGGAGCAGGGCCUUCCUGCCUCCAUGUAGUGAGGGACCUCUGCCCCUUUUUGCAUCACACAUACCAUAAGUAAUAAGCCUUUUUUAUUUUUAAGUAAUUAAUUAAUACUCAAGUUUGUCUUGCUCAGCUUGACCAACAUCAUUUAAUUGAAAAAUAAAGCAAAGCAAGCCAUCUUCACGAGCACCCAGAACAACCAAGGUACAUGCACCCACAGUGACCACGCACCAGCUUUGCGUUUUGGUGUUUAAAACAGCAGUCAGCAAUGUCACAAAAAGCCACAAGAUCUUUAACGCUCUAUUUUUAUACACCCAUUUCAUGCUCAGUUUCAAACCAAGGUCCCUAAGAGCCCUUCCACCUGUUUCACAGAGUUAGAGGAAAUAUUCAUUGGAUUAAGUGGCAGAACUAAGCAGAAAUUCUGGCAUGUUGCAGGGAUGGAUGGGUUCAGAAAAGCUCCUUCACAGGUCUUAAAAAAAAAACAAAAACAAAAACAAAAAUAAAAACAAACGCAGAGAAGAUAAAGUUUUCUAUUUACAGUCCUGCUACUUUGUUGGAGAGAACUGUGUUUCAAUGGCUUGCAAAAGAAUCCAUUUGCCUAGUUUCUUUACACAAAAAGCAUCUGCAAUUUUUUGACACACAAAGCAUUUCACAAAUUGCUCUUCAAAAUUUUAGAAACCAUAAAACAUGACUUGCUUUUUGGGAAUAUUAUUCAACACGUAAAAUAUGUGUGUGCAGGUACACGUCUAUAUGCAUGCAUAUGCAGUACCUUAGGUUUAAACAUGUCCAGUAGUGCUCUUUUUAGUUGCCUUCCAUGAAUCAAUACAAGCAGCUCACAGUCUGCCACAGUGCAAGACUUACUGUAAACUGAAACCACUGCUUUAGACCAAAAUUUUAGUGGAAAACAAGACUUCUGUAUCACAGUGCUCAUUUUAAAGAUACAAAAAUACAUGUCACUGAUGUGGAAGCUGUUUAUCAGAGUAUCUGAAAAAUCACUUCUAGUUCAGGACUUUUGAAGUCUCACAGAAGUUAUCGUGUCCUGACAGGCAUAUGUACAUCUGUCUGUUUGUCUGUCCUAGAGAUAGGACUGAGCUCAUUCUUGACUUUCAAUUUGAAGAUGGAACAGCAGUUCCUGACAGAUUGAAAGAUUCUGAUGGUUCCCUCUCCUUUGAUCAGAUACUGUGGUCCUUCAGAAAUUCUGGGUUUGCAGUUUCCAGGAGAGCUGCCUAUGCAGUUUUUUGUUGUUCGAAGCAAAUCUCUGGAUAAUGAGUGAUGUGAUUGUGGAGCGGGACUGCUUGGAAAUGUACUUGAGCUCUUGGAACUAUAUCAAUUUCUACUUUCCCCUGCCUUUUUUGUAUUGGUGACAUAUUUUAUGUGAAAUGAUUUUAAUUUAAUUUUCUUUCAAAUAUUUUUGACUACUUUUCAUAUUUCAUAUCUAAUUAUAAAAGAAUUAUUUAAUAAACCAGCACUUUUGAGCUCUAUUACAUAAGUGGAAUUUAAA